CGGGACGGGUGAGUAAUGUCUGGGAAACUGCCUGAUGGAGGGGGAUAACUACUGGAAACGGUAGCUAAUACCGCAUAACGUCGCAAGACCAAAGAGGGGGACCUUCGGGCCUCUUGCCAUCGGAUGUGCCCAGAUGGGAUUAGCUAGUAGGUGGGGUAACGGCUCACCUAGGCGACGAUCCCUAGCUGGUCUGAGAGGAUGACCUGCCACACUGGAACUGAGACACGGUCCAG
rnacentral:rRNA from 1 species